rnacentral:rRNA from 1 species
CUGAAUGUCGAUAGUACCGCGAGCCUUCGGGCAAGUGGAUAGCGCAGGUAAUCAGACUUCCAAGAAAAACCGCUAAGCUCUAGGCUAUAAAAACUCGUACCGCAAACCGACACAGGUAUCCGGGAUGAGAAUUCUAAGGUGCUCGAGUGAAUCAUGGCUAAGGAACUCGGCAAAAUGGCCCUGUAACUUCGGGAGAAGGGGCGCUGUCAGCAAUGGCAGCCGCAGUGAAAAGGCCCAGGCGACUGUUUAACAAAAACACAUGGCUUUGCAAAAUCGAAAGAUGAGGUAUAAGGCCUGACACCUGCCCGGUGCUGGAAGGUUAAGAGGGGAUGUCAGCCGCAAGGCGAAGCAUUGAAUCGAAGCCCCAGUAAACGGCGGCCGUAACUAUAACGGUCCUAAGGUAGCGAAAUUCCUUGUCGGGUAAGUUCCGACCUGCACGAAUGGUGUAACGAUCUGGGCGCUGUCUCAGCCAUGAGCUCGGUGAAAUUGUGGUCCCGGUGAAGACGCCGGGUACCCGCAACGGGACGGAAAGACCCCAUGCACCUUCACUACAGUUUAACAUUGACAUUGGGUACAGGAUGUGUAGGAUAGGUGGGAGGCUUUGAAGCGGCGUCGCUAGGCGUCGUGGAGCCAACGUUGAAAUACCACCCUUUCUGUAUUCGGUGUCUAACUCCGCCAAGCGGAGGACAUUGUUUGAUGGGUAGUUUGACUGGGGUGGUCGCCUCCAAAAAGGUAACGGAGGCUUUCAAAGGUAAGCUCAGUACGCUUGGUAACCGUACGGGGAGUGCAAUAGCAUAAGCUUGCUUGACUGUGAGGCAUACAGGCCGAUCAGGGUCGAAAGACGGAUAUAGUGAUCCGGUGGUUCUGCAUGGAAGGGCCAUCGCUCAAAGGAUAAAAGGUACGCUGGGGAUAACAGGCUGAUCUCCCCCAAGAGCUCAUAUCGACGGGGAGGUUUGGCACCUCGAUGUCGGCUCGUCACAUCCUGGGGCUGGAGAAGGUCCCAAGGGUUCGGCUGUUCGCCGAUUAAAGUGGCACGCGAGCUGGGUUCAGAACGUCGCGAGACAGUUCGGUCCCUAUCUGUUGUGGGCGUUGGAAUCUUGAGUGGGGCUGACCUUAGUACGAGAGGACCGGGUUGGACUAGCCUCUAGUGAAUCUGUUGUUCCGCCAGGGGCAUUGCAGAGUAGCUACGCUGGGAAUAGAUAAGCGCUGAAAGCAUCUAAGUGCGAAACUAGCCACGAGAUGAGGAUUCCAUAUAGGGCCGUAGCAGACUACUACGUUGAUAGGCUACAGAUGUAAAGGUGGCGACACCACAGUCGAGUAGUACUAAUAGCCCGAAGCU